CCCUUAGAUGUUCUGGGCCGCACGCGCGCUACACUGACGAUGUCAACGAGUCUCUCUUUGGCCGAAAGGUCUGGGUAAUCUUCUGAAACAUCGUCGUGCUGGGGAUAGAUCAUUGCAAUUUUUGAUCUUGAACGAGGAAUUCCUAGUAAGCGCGAGUCAUCAGCUCGCGUUGAUUACGUCCCUGCCCUUUGUACACACCGCCCGUCGCUACUACCGAUUGAAUGGUUUAGUGAGGACUCCUGAUUGGCGCCGCCGCCCCGGCAACGGAGCAGUGGACUGCCGAAAAGUUGUUCAAACUUGAUCAUUUAGAGGAAGUAAAAGUCGUAACA
rnacentral:rRNA from 1 species